AAGAGAUAAUUUUUAUUCUGAAGACAUAGAUUUUCUGUGAGAGACAAUCUUUUUCACAUAUCUCAAGGAAGAGAAUGAAUUCCUUUUGAGAAAAAAAAAGCAUGACGUCAUGUACCUAAAUGCCAUCAAGUGCAUUAAACCGAAUAGUUCAACACCACGGACAGCGACUGCACCUGUCUGGAUGAAGGUCUGUGAUGAGACGUGUACGACCUUUUUCAGAACCAUGGACAGUACCACAAGCUUCAAGUUCAACGCCAUUAUACUGUAAUCCACACUAAAGCACCAUAAUGUGUUAUUUGAAACCUCAAAAUGCAACCUCCACAUGAAGAGUAUCAAAAAUUAAUUAAAAUGAAAAUAAAUGUUUGUCUUCA